rnacentral:rRNA from 1 species
UACGGAGGGUGCAAGCGUUAAUCGGAUUUACUGGGCGUAAAGCGCACGUAGGUGGUUUGUUAAGUCGGAUGUGAAAUCCCCGGGCUCAACCUGGGAGCGGCAUUCGAUACUGGCAAACUGGAGUACGAGAGAGGGGGGUAGAAUUCCACGUGUAGCAGUGAAAUGCGUAGAUAUGUGGAGGAAUACCGAUGGCGAAGGCAGCCCCCUGGGUCGAUACUGACGCUCAUGCACGAAAGCGUGGGUAGCAAACAGGAUUAGAAACCCCAGUAGU